UACGAAGGGGGCUAGCGUUGUUCGGAAUUACUGGGCGUAAAGCGCACGUAGGCGGAUAUUUAAGUCAGGGGUGAAAUCCCGGGGCUCAACCCCGGAACUGCCUUUGAUGCUGGGUAUCUAGAGUCCAGAAGAGGUGAGUGGAAUUCCGAGUGUAGAGGUGAAAUUCGUAGAUAUUCGGAGGAACACCAGUGGCGAAGGCGGCUCACUGGUCUGGUACUGACGCUGAGGUGCGAAAGCGUGGGGAGCGAUCCGG
rnacentral:rRNA from 1 species